UGGGGAAUUGUUCGCAAUGGGCGCAAGCCUGACGACGCAACGCCGCGUGGGGGAUGAAGGUCUUCGGAUUGUAAACCCCUGUCGAGCGGGACGAAUGACUCACGACCUAACACGUCGUGGGAAUGACGGUACCGCUAAAGGAAGCCACGGCUAACUCUGUGCCAGCAGCCGCGGUAAUACAGAGGUGGCAAGCGUUGUUCGGAAUUCCUUGGCGUAAAGGGCGCGUAGGCGGCCUUCUAAGUCAGACGU
rnacentral:rRNA from 1 species